AGGCUCCUUAGUUGGAACUGCUUUGAGGUGGGCACCAUCUUUUGACAAAUUGAGUGGAUCGAGGCUGAUAUUGAGGAGCUGCAGCUGAGGGAGGACCAGGGAGGUGGCUUACCUUAGCAUGAGUUGGGAGAGCUGUGAGAUAAGCUUUCUGAGUACCACUCUUUUCUAAGAUAGCAAGAGAUUUUAUGGAGGGAGAAAUCUAGAAUUCAGU
rnacentral:lncRNA from 1 species